rnacentral:rRNA from 1 species
UACGUAGGGUGCAAGCGUUAAUCGGAAUUACUGGGCGUAAAGCGUGCGCAGGCGGUUCGUUAAGACAGAUGUGAAAUCCCCGGGCUUAACCUGGGAACUGCAUUUGUGACUGGCGGACUCGAGUAUGGCAGAGGAAGGUGGAAUUCCACGUGUAGCGGUGAAAUGCGUAGAGAUGUGGAGGAACACCGAUGGCGAAGGCAGCCUUCUGGGCCAAUACUGACGCUCAUGCACGAAAGCGUGGGGAGCAAACAGG